rnacentral:lncRNA from 7 species
CUUUUCCCAUACACCCACCUAAGACAGAGUGCACUUUUUUCCCUCCAGUUACUAACAACUAUUUCAUGGUUUAUUACAUACAUCUGUUUUCAGACAUACUUCUAAAAUAGGAAAAAUCCAGCACACUUACUCUUCUACUACCAGACACUGGAAAAAUAUUUCAGAUUUGCUACUGUUGCUAUUCCAGGAAAAGCAUCAUUGAGGCCACGCUCAAGUAUAAAGCAGAUCGUUCUUUGCAAAAGAAGUUACUGCUGCCUCCCAAAGCACCUGCUGAUGUUUUCCUUGGAUGUAUUCUGCAACAUCACAUCCUCGAACAUGUUGUGGGAACAGGAGGAUGCAUUACGUAAGGAAGACCAAUUGUCUGCCGUGGAUGCUGGCAGUGCACAGAAAACGUACUGCUCCCUUUAGAGAACAAGGUGUCACUAGGAGAACUGAUGACCAGAAGGUGAUGAGACAUUAAUGAAACACAACCAUGAAGUGGACCAAAACCCAUGCAUCAAGCCCACAUAGCCCACAGUCUGUCUGAAGAUACCCUGGGUGACAAAGUCAAGGCGGUUUCCGUAAAGGUUCCAAUGACGCUGAAGUUCUCAAACUUUUCAGAAUGCAUGAAAUGUAGCCAAAUACAACGUGAUAAUCCCCACAUGGUCAUGCAGUUCUUCUGUUUUCUAAAUCUGAUCUCUUGCCUAACCUCCUGUAAGAAAUACCUCCUCUCACAAACAGAACUAACUGUCCACAGGGAAGACAUAUGACUCCCUCUACUGAAACAGAAAAUCUCACCCGCUACAUCAGCUCUUCUCUCACAUGACAGCUAGGGGACAACCCUCUGAACACAUGUUCUUUGGAAACCAAGCAGAGACUGGUUUUACUGCAACUACAAUUCCAAGUUGAUGGACUGCUGGAGACUCUUCACAGUGAUGUGAGAAGCUGCCAACAUAAUGCAGCUGCGAACAUCUGGUAGUGGCAUGGGUGUUCUCCAAAUAGAACAGCACAUAUUUGAACUGUGCCAAUCCAACCCAUGGCUAACACUUUUUGAAUUAAAGUAUAUUGACUGGCCAUCCUGUGCUCAAAAGCAACAGGACUUCUCAAUUUCAAGGAACAUCCACAGAAAUAUCUUUCCUAUGAUUGUAAUUUCUUUGCAAGUCCAUCAAGGCUCUAAGAAAACUGGCAUGUUUUCUGCUCAAACACAGGCUGUUCCUAAUCUUCUCCAGAGGUAUCACAUGGUAGCUCUGUCUAGCAUUGCAGACGUUAUAGGGCUCCUUCUUUCUAUGUCAGCAGAUCACAGCACAACUAUCCAUCUCUGAGGCACAUCUCAGAAAAAGGCAGAUUCUAGAUUACAUCAAGCAAAGUAUUUCUGGUAAAAAUCAAAGAGCAACAGCAGUGAUCCUCUCGGAUACAGCUUACAUUUUUCAUCACUCCUUCUGAACUCAUGAACUCAAAUCUAAGUGGAAGCAAAAUGACUGUGAGGAGCAGUGGAAGACGGAGAAGAAGCUUGUCUUUCCUGAAGAUGAAGAAAGAAAUUUGAUGUUUUAAGCUAAAAAGCUAUCUAGAUGGAUUCCUUCAUUAUCUCCUUUCCUCUUAUUUGAGUGGUUAAACAGCCAAAGGAAAAUGAAGAACAAAUAAAGUGCACAUAU